rnacentral:rRNA from 1 species
AGUGAACGCUGGCGGUAGGCCUAACACAUGCAAGUCGAACGGCAGCACAGUAAGAGCUCGCUCUUACGGGUGGCGAGUGGCGGACGGGUGAGGAAUACAUCGGAAUCUACUUUUUCGUGGGGGAUAACGUAGGGAAACUUACGCUAAUACCGCAUACGACCUACGGGUGAAAGCAGGGGAUCUUCGGACCUUGCGCGAUUGAAUGAGCCGAUGUCGGAUUAGCUAGUUGGCGGGGUAAAGGCCCACCAAGGCGACGAUCCGUAGCUGGUCUGAGAGGAUGAUCAGCCACACUGGAACUGAGACACGGUCCAGACUCCUACGGGAGGCAGCAGUGGGGAAUAUUGGACAAUGGGCGCAAGCCUGAUCCAGCCAUACCGCGUGGGUGAAGAAGGCCUUCGGGUUGUAAAGCCCUUUUGUUGGGAAAGAAAAGCAGCAGGUUAAUACCCUGCUGUUCUGACGGUACCCAAAGAAUAAGCACCGGCUAACUUCGUG